rnacentral:rRNA from 1 species
UACGUAGGGCGCAAGCGUUAUCCGGAAUUAUUGGGCGUAAAGAGCUCGUAGGCGGUUUGUCGCGUCUGCCGUGAAAAUCCGGGGCUCAACUCCGGAUCUGUGGUGGGUACGGGCAGACUAGAGUGAUGUAGGGGAGACUGGAAUUCCUGGUGUAGCGGUGAAAUGCGCAGAUAUCAGGAGGAACACCGAUGGCGAAGGCAGGUCUCUGGGCAUUAACUGACGCUGAGGAGCGAAAGCGUGGGGAGCGAACAGG